ACGGAAUAGAUUUACCCUGGUAGUCCACGCCCUAAACGAUGUCUACUAGUUGUUGGUGGAGUAAAAUCCAUGAGUAAACGCAGCUAAACGCGUGAAGUAGACCGCCUGGGGAGUACGGUCGCAAGAUUAAAACUCAAAUGAAUUGACGGGGGCCCGCACAAGCGGUGGAUUAUGUGGAUUAAUUCGAUGCAACGCGAAAACCUUACCUGGCCUUGACAUGUAACGAACUUUCCAGAGAUGGAUUGGUGCUCGAAAGAGAACGUUAACACAGGUGCUGCAUGGCUGUCGUCAGCUCGUGUCGUGAGAUGUUGGGUUAAGUCCCGCAACGAGCGCAACCCUUGCCAUUAAUUGCCAUCAUUUAGUUGGGCACUUUAAUGGGACUGCCGGUGACAACCGGAGGAACGGUGGGGAUGACGUCAAGUCCUCAUGGCCCUUAU
rnacentral:rRNA from 1 species